rnacentral:rRNA from 1 species
UACGAAGGGGGCUAGCGUUGCUCGGAAUGACUGGGCGUAAAGGGCGCGUAGGCGGCUUGCACAGUCAGGCGUGAAAUUCCUGGGCUCAACCUGGGGACUGCGCUUGAGACGUGUGGGCUUGAGUGGGGAAGAGGGUCGUGGAAUUCCCAGUGUAGAGGUGAAAUUCGUAGAUAUUGGGAAGAACACCGGUGGCGAAGGCGGCGACCUGGUCCAUUACUGACGCUGAGGCGCGACAGCGUGGGGAGCAAACAGG